AUUGACACUGGUUUGCAGCUACAUGAUGGAUAUAAUACGCUGAUCAUAUCGUAGCAUUUCUAAAAAAAAAUGGUUUAGCUGGAAAAUAAAGUUAACUCCUGCAAAGUUCAAGAAUCUGGAAAAUGUUUGGGAGUCGAUUGCGGGCUGCGUGCACACAGCACAAUGACGAGUCCAUUUGGAUUUGGGAGUAUUGCGAAAGCAGUCUUCAGUCACUACUUUCCAGCACCUUUGAAGCAAGUGUGAACAAAUUACACGGGAGAGAUGUCCAACGUUUCAACAAACAGCCCCCGUGGACUCUUAAAAAGGAUCGAGAGCACACCCCAUUCGCAAGCGCUUUCAUUUGGCACACAUAAAUGGCUCGUUGCGAACAUUGGCUAAAGCAGGGUUGCUUUACUCACUUUGAGUAACUAACGCCCCAUUGAGUAGGCUAUAUUAGACUUUUCUAUUUAUUCAUAAGACCUUUUACUGCUAGAAGUCGUACUAGGGGUACGCGCAAUAUAAAGCAGAUGGAAAUGCAACUGAAUGUACUAGUACAGCAAACGUUGUAGAACUGAGCACAUCUCGCACACUCAUCCUUCAACAUGUAUACUAAUCAUGCUUCUUCCCCUUCAAGCAAAAAGGACGAGCGUAAAGCCAAGAUUGUGUGGCCAGACUUUUGCAACGCCUCAAGAAAGUCAAGCAAAUGCGACACCAGCAAGAAAGAGGCAAUAAUUUUUGUGCUUGUCAACGCUUCUGUGGUUGCCAGUAACAUUAUUAUUCUGGCAAUCAUCCUGUUUUAAAAGAGGUAUUGUAAUCUGUUCUAGACUGAAAAUGAGGUUGGCAAAAAUACUUCCACUUGACUAUUUAAAAUAAUGUAUGCAAAAAUAAUAUAGAUACAAGUGGAUGUGGUAUAUUAUUAACAGAUCAUUAAUUAUCAAAUUAAAAAGUGAAUCUGUUUUGUA